CCCAGAUACCUGGGUAUGAAAUAUGCAAAUCUGCAAAUGGUCUAUGUACAGAUACAUCAGGACUGCCUAACUGACAGUGAGUGUUGCUAGCCAGGCUCCAAGCUAAUGGAGCUAAUACGGUGGAGCUCUCUGCUGAAUGGACUUUCCCUUCAGGAUACGUCGGAUCUGGAAGAGAAACAAAUAAAAUUUGUGAGGUUUAUUUCUUAUGGCCAAUGUGGUGUAUUUCCUUCUGAGUUUCAUUCCUUUCUUAUACCAUCUACACUACUCCUAUUAACUUGUAAGUAUACGAAGAAAUACACACAAUAUUUCUCAAGAUUUUGAGGUGACUUUUAAAAAUACUAAACUCCUUUUAAACUUAUUUCAGAUCUCUUAUAAUAAUCUUUGAGUUCAAGAAAGUAAAACAUCUCCACUAAAAAUUAUCUGAAGUUGAAAAUCUCCAUAAACUUAACACCUAUAUUCUUUUCCUAAUCUUUACUCUUGCUAUUUGUGAGAACAUUUAACAUAAGACAGUAAUUAAGGCAUAUUAUAAUAUCUCACUUAUCUUGAAGUCAGCCUCAACUAACAGGAACAGAAAACCCACAUUUUAUGAUACACACACAAGUAAAUCCUUAAUACCAUUCAAGUCAAAACAGCUGUCAUGAUAUCCAAGUAUUAAAGCAUCUACACGUAACUUCAUGGAUCACAGAAAAGAUCCCGGCUCAUUCAGAGUGAUUCAUUUUACAUCCCAGUCUGACAAAUUUUAUUUUCUAUCUCUCAGCCUCCAGCAGAUUAGAAGCAACAAUUUAGAUGAAAGGCGAUUGGGGUAGGGGAUACAACUGAUAGCUGCUAGAAGGAAACACACGACCACAGUAUGACAAUAAAAGCCAGGGAAAAGAGCCUCUACCUGCCCAACACACACAAAAUACCAAAGCAAAAAGGAGAUAAUCUGGGAACAUUUAAUGAAGAGUUAAAUGGCUUAAUAUCUCAAUGAUCCCUGAGAGCAUAGUUAUAUGACUGCACACCACAAACAGUGAAGUAGAAGCAAAUACUGGGCUUAGGACUCUGCCUUUUACAAGUUAAUGAUGGUUCUGGUCCUUGGAACCUCUCUGAAUAUCAAUUUUCUCAGUUGAAACUUGAAACUUGUAAAGUUCUUCUAACUAUUAAAUGAUAUACAUGAAAACUUUUUACAAACUAUAGAAAUAUUCUUUCUAAAUUACAAAGAGCUCUAUAAAUAGGGGCUACUAUAACAUUAUGGUCAUAAUGACAGCUCAGAAUCAAAGAAAAAGCUAAACUGCAUUCCACGUAUUUUAUUUUGUGAUUAGUAAAGUAUGUAAUGACCUACCCACAGCCACAAUCCCCCUCAUUCCUCCCAGGAAAAGAGUUCCAUCAAAAACAUUUUAAGUUCUUGAAAGAAUAAGUUCUUGUUAUCUAAAAAGUUUACUCAUGAAACUAUUCAAUACUCAAUGAUAAUAUAUAACCAUAUUUGAUGAGUAAAGCAUUAAAUAUGCUGUUUAAAACAAAAUAUUUCUAGGUUUGAAAUUACAUAAGUAAUUUUUCCAUUUUUUGUUCAGUAUCACUUCAUAGACAGAAAUAAUUCUAACUAUUGAUGUUCACUGAUCUCUUACUCUGUACCCGGGACUAUUGUGAGCACUCCACAUGUAACAACUCAUUUAAUAUCCACAAUAUUUGAAGGCUCAUACAUUACAAGACUAAGAUUCUCUUUCCUUGGUAUCUGCAGGAACCUUGGUAUCUUCUCUUUCCGAACCUUAAACCAUUCUGACUUACUCUAACCCUAAGUGUGUGUCACAGAAUACUACCUGACCUCUAACCAUUUUGAGUCUAUGGAUAAUCCCUCAAAUUUCUUAAUUGCUGUUUCCAAACGAAGAGUAACUCCACAAUGCUAUGACAGCUACCGUGAGA
rnacentral:lncRNA from 1 species